AAAUUGUAAUAAUUGUAGAAAUUUAGGGACUAUUCCGCUAUUUUUCCCUUUUCACGAGUAUCUACAGGAUCUUGAUCUAAAAUAUAAAAUUAUUCACUUAUUAGCAUAUAUAUUCCAUUUCCAAUUCAUUUUACAAUUAAUACCCUUUUUAUUUUUUAAAUUUACAUAAUUACCCCAAACUUUUACAAUUUUUGUAAUUUAAUCCCUUAAUUAGUUAAUCUAUCAAAUUAACUAAUUUUCUCAAUAAAUGAUCUAUCCAA
rnacentral:lncRNA from 1 species